CCUACGGGAGGCUGCAGUGGGGAAUAUUGGACAAUGGGGGCAACCCUGAUCCAGCCAUGCCGCGUGUGUGAAGAAGGCCCUCGGGUUGUAAAGCACUUUCAGUGAGGAAGAACGCCUGGUGGUUAAUACCCAUCAGGAAAGACAUCACUCACAGAAGAAGCACCGGCUAACUCCGUGCCAGCAGCCGCGGUAAUACGGAGGGUGCGAGCGUUAAUCGGAAUUACUGGGCGUAAAGCGCGCGUAGGUGGCUUGAUAAGCCGGUUGUGAAAGCCCCGGGCUCAACCUGGGAACGGCAUCCGGAACUGUCAAGCUAGAGUGCAGGAGAGGAAGGUAGAAUUCCCGGUGUAGCGGUGAAAUGCGUAGAGAUCGGGAGGAAUACCAGUGGCGAAGGCGGCCUUCUGGGCUGACACUGACACUGAGGUGCGAAAGCGUGGGUAGCAAACAGGAUUAGAUACCCCUGUAGUC
rnacentral:rRNA from 1 species